UACCAGCACCCCGAGUGGUCGGGACGUUUAUUGGGCCUAAAGCAUCCGUAGCCGGUUCUACAAGUCCUCCGUUAAAUCCACCUGCUUAACAGAUGGGCUGCGGAAGAUACUAUAGAGCUAGGAGGCGGGAGAGGCAAGCGGUACUCGAUGGGUAGGGGUAAAAUCCGUUGAUCCAUUGAAGACCACCAGUGGCGAAGGCGGCUUGCCAGAACGCGCUCGACGGUGAGGGAUGAAAGCUGGGGGAGCAAACCGG
rnacentral:rRNA from 1 species